UACGUAGGGGGCUAGCGUUGUCCGGAAUCAUUGGGCGUAAAGAGCGUGUAGGCGGCUCGGUAAGUCCGCUGUGAAAGUCAAAGGCUCAACCUUUGAAUGUCAGUGGAUACUGCCGGGCUAGAGUCCGGAAGAGGCGAGUGGAACUCCUGGUGUAGCGGUGGAAUGCGCAGAUAUCAGGAAGAACACCAACGGCGAAGGCAGCUCGCUGGGGCGGUACUGACGCUGAGACGCGAAAGCGUGGGGAGCGAACAGG
rnacentral:rRNA from 1 species